UACAGAGGGGGCAAGCGUUAUUCGGAAUUAUUGGGCGUAAAGGGCGCGUAGGCGGCUUGGCAAGUGGAUGGUGAAAUCCCCCGGCUUAACCGAGGAACUGCCGUCCAAACUGCUUCGCUUGAGACCGGGAGAGGUGAGUGGAAUUCCCAGUGUAGCGGUGAAAUGCGUAGAUAUUGGGAGGAACACCAGUGGCGAAGGCGGCUCACUGGACCGGUACUGACGCUGAUGCACGAAAGCGUGGGGAGUAAACGGG
rnacentral:rRNA from 1 species